GGUUUGAAUCAUGGCUCAGGACGAACGCUGGCUGCGUGCUUAACACAUGCAAGUCGAACGCUGAAGCCGACAGCUUGCUGUUGGUGGAUGAGUGGCGAACGGGUGAGUAACACGUGAGUAACCUGCCCCUGAUUUCGGGAUAAGCCUGGGAAACUGGGUCUAAUACCGGAUAUGACCAAUCUUCGCAUGAGGGUUGGUGGAAAGUUUUUCGAUCGGGGAUGGGCUCGCGGCCUAUCAGCUUGUUGGUGGGGUAAUGGCCUACCAAGGCGACGACGGGUAGCCGGCCUGAGAGGGCGACCGGCCACACUGGGACUGAGACACGGCCCAGACUCCUACGGGAGGCAGCAGUGGGGAAUAUUGCACAAUGGGGGAAACCCUGAUGCAGCGACGCAGCGUGCGGGAUGACGGCCUUCGGGUUGUAAACCGCUUUCAGCAGGGAAGAAGCGAAAGUGACGGUACCUGCAGAAGAAGUACCGGCUAACUACGUGCCAGCAGCCGCGGUAAUACGUAGGGUACGAGCGUUGUCCGGAAUUAUUGGGCGUAAAGAGCUCGUAGGUGGUUGGUCACGUCUGCUGUGGAAACGCAACGCUUAACGUUGCGCGUGCAGUGGGUACGGGCUGACUAGAGUGCAGUAGGGGAGUCUGGAAUUCCUGGUGUAGCGGUGAAAUGCGCAGAUAUCAGGAGGAACACCGGUGGCGAAGGCGGGACUCUGGGCUGUAACUGACACUGAGGAGCGAAAGCAUGGGGAGCGAACAGGAUUAGAUACCCUGGUAGUCCAUGCCGUAAACGUUGGGCACUAGGUGUGGGGGACAUUCCACGUUCUCCGCGCCGUAGCUAACGCAUUAAGUGCCCCGCCUGGGGAGUACGGUCGCAAGGCUAAAACUC
rnacentral:rRNA from 1 species